rnacentral:rRNA from 1 species
AAUCGAACCCGGAGAUAGCUGGUUCUCCUCGAAAUAGCUUUAGGGCUAGCCUCGGUGCAAUCUGCUGGAGGUAGGGCACUGAAUUCCCGCGGGGGCGUCAAAGCCUACCAAAGGAUAUCAAACUGCGAAUGCCAGACAGAUGGUCACCGGGAGUCAGACCACACGAGAUAAGUUGGGUGGUCAAAAGGGAAAGAGCCCAGACCUGCAGCUAAGGUCCCAAAGUGCGUGUUAAGUGGAAAAGGAUGUGGGAUCUCGAAGACAACUAGGAUGUUGGCUCAGAAGCAGCCAUACAUUCAAAGAGUGCGUAAUAGCUCACUAGUCGAGAGGUCCUGCGCCGAAAAUGAACCGGGGCUAAACACGACACCGAAGCUCAGGAAUCCGAAAGGAUUGGUAGAGGAGCAUUGCUGAAGCGACGAAGCAGUACCGAAAGGAGCUGUGGAGUUUCAGGAAGAGAGAAUGCCGGAAUGAGUAGCGAGAGAAAGGUGAGAAUCCUUUCGGCCGAAUAUCCAAGGUUUCCAGGGUAAAGCUGAUCUGCCCUGGGUAAGUCGGGGCCUAAGGCGAGGCAGAAAUGCGUAGUCGAUGGACAGCAGGUUGAGAUUCCUGCACCCGUAAUGAACAGAACUGUAGUGACACGGAAGGUAAGACAGAGCCGGGAAUGAGAAAACCGGUGCAAGCACAAUAGAUGUGCGGGAGGAAAAACCCCCGCAUAAGUCGAAGGUGUGACGCGGACCGAAAAAGAGUAGGGAAGCUGUUAAGCAAGCCGUCAAGAAAAGCUGCUAUUGUUUCAUUAUGGCCCGUACCGUAAACCGACACAGGUGGAUGGGGAGAGAAUCCUAAGGCCGGCGGAAGAAGUAUUGUUAAGGAACUCGGCAAAAUGACCCCGUAACUUCGGGAGAAGGGGUGCCUGCGAGAGCAGGCCGCAGAGAAGAGGCCCAAGCAACUGUUUAGCAAAAACACAGGUCUAUGCAAAACCGAAAGGUGAGGUAUAUGGGCUGACGCCUGCCCGGUGCUGGAAGGUUAAGGGGAGAGGUUAGCGCAAGCGAAGCUUUGAACUUAAGCCCCAGUAAACGGCGGCCGUAACUAUAACGGUCCUAAGGUAGCGAAAUUCCUUGUCGGGUAAGUUCCGACCCGCACGAAAGGCGUAAUGAUUUGGGCGCUGUCUCGACAAUACAUCCGGUGAAAUUGAAGUGCCAGUGAAGAUGCUGGCUACCUGCGCCAGGACGGAAAGACCCCAUGGAGCUUUACUCCAGCUUGAUACUGGGACCCGGUAUUGCAUGUACAGGAUAGGUGGGAGGCUAGGAAAUGUGGACGCCAGUCUGCAUGGAGCCGCCGUUGGGAUACCACCCUUGUGGUGCUGGGUUUCUAACCAGAGGCCGUGAACCGGUCUGGGGACAAUGUCAGGUGGGGAGUUUGACUGGGGCGGUCGCCUCCGAAAGGGUAUCGGAGGCGCCCAAAGGUUCCCUCAGAAUGGUUGGAAACCAUUCGAAGAGUGCAAAGGCAGAAGGGAGCUUGACUGCGACACCGACGGGUGGAGCAGGUACGAAAGUAGGGCUUAGUGAUCCGGUGGAAUUUAAGUGGGAAUGCCAUCGCUCAACGGAUAAAAGCUACCCUGGGGAUAACAGGCUGAUCACUCCCAAGAGUUCACAUCGACGGAGUGGUUUGGCACCUCGAUGUCGGCUCAUCGCAUCCUGGGGCUGAAGUCGGUCCCAAGGGUUGGGCUGUUCGCCCAUUAAAGCGGUACGCGAGCUGGGUUCAGAACGUCGUGAGACAGUUCGGUCCCUAUCCGGCGUGGGCGUAGGAUAUCUGAGAGGAGCUGUCCUUAGUACGAGAGGACCGGGAUGGACUGACCUCUGGUGUACCGGUUGGCGAUCAACGCCACGGCCGGGUAGCCAUGUCGGGACGGGAUAAACGCUGAAGGCAUCUAAGCGUGAAGCCCCCCUCAAGAUGAGAUAUCCCAUCGUAAGAGUAAGACCCCUUGA